UCUAUCAUAGUUUUGCUCUUCAGUCUGUUGCUGGGAAUCUCGGCACUGAUCCGAAAACGAGGAUGCCUUAGAAUCAACAUUGAAAGAUCUUCGAAUAACGAGACAGAGCUCAGAGGAACAGAAAUUUUCCACGAAG